GUAGAGUCCAGGACUACCUACCACAGCUCAGGAGUAUGAUGGCCAAUGGAUCCAAAACCUAUCCUAUAUCUACAUGUUGGUGGCCACAUUAAUCUGACAUCUGACAGCAAGAGCGAUGAUUGGGUUCACUGGAAAUCUUUGUGAAGUACGAGUGAAGUCCUUGUGAAGUCAGAGUUUCCUCUUCAUGCCUCUACUCCUAUGCAGUUUGACCUCUCAGUGUGCAGCUGGUGAUAGAUGGAAACCCUUGUUCAUAAGCUUUGUGGCACUGUCGGCAGGAUGAGGGGACUUCUGGAUCCUCACUGGUCACUGUGGCAGAGUGGUUGGUGUUGUCUGCUCCCUAGACAGGAACCCACUGAAGAAUCUGACAUUUUUUGAUAUGCUGGCAUUCAUUGUUACAGCCCAUCAUCCCAGCCAUCAAUCCAGGA
rnacentral:lncRNA from 1 species